UGGUAAUGGAGAAUCACUCAAGGCAGC
rnacentral:piRNA from 1 species